rnacentral:rRNA from 1 species
AGCCUGAACGCUGGCGGCGUGGCUAAGACAUGCAAGUCGUACGGAUGUAGCAAUACAUCAGUGGCGAACGGGUGAGUAAUGAAUCGCUAACGUGCCCCGGACUCUGGGAUAGCCGGUCGAAAGGCCGGGUAAUACCAGAUGAUAUACCUUUAUCGCAUGAUAGAGGUCUCAAAGGUCCGCC